CAGCCGUAAACUAUGCUCGCUAGGUGUCAGGCAUGGCGCGACCGUGUCUGGUGCCGCAGGGAAGCCGUGAAGCGAGCCACCUGGGAAGUACGGCCGCAAGGCUGAAACUUAAAGGAAUUGGCGGGGGAGCACAACAACGGGUGGAGCCUGCGGUUUAAUGGACUCAACGCCGGACAACUCACCGGGGACGACAGCAAUAUGUAGGCCAGGCUGAAGACCUUGCCUGAAUCGCUGAGAGGUGGUGCAUGGCGUCAGUGACU
rnacentral:rRNA from 1 species